CCGUAGUUGUAGCUUACUACAAAGAUAAGAAAUAAAAGAAAAUAUAUCUAAAAAGCUUUACCUCACUGAAAGAGACGCUGCUUCAGGCAAACCUCUCUGCCAAGUCAUGCCCAUCUGCAAUGGAGUGUGACGUGGAGGCUUGCAAUUGGGCAUCAGAAGCGGCCCAACAACAGACUCCCUGCUGAGACCUGACAUGCCGUUUUCAUCAAGAAUUGUUCUUCACCUGUGUGAAACAUUGCUGCAGACAACAAAUGGACAUGGCUUUCAUUUGUUUACAGACAAAUUUUACACAGGUUACGAACGGCCAUGGAACUGCUAAAAAUAAAAAUCCACCUUACUGGAACAGUAAUGGCCAACAGAAGAGGAUUGCCAGUACCAGUGAAGCAAGGCCUCAAACUGAAAAAAAAUGAGACAGUCUCAUUCACCAAGGACAACAAGAUCAUGGUGCUAGGAUGGAAGGACAAAAGGCUAGUGCUCAUGUUGAGCACCUUCCAAGGCAGUGACUGAGAAGGCACAGCAUACCAUCAAGAGAGGAGCAAUUGAAGAGCUCGACAAGCCUUCAGUUAUCUGUGAUUACACCAGCAAGAUGGGUACAGUGGACUGGGCGGAUCACUACUGUGACAGCUAUGCUUUCACAAGAAAGUCUCUGAAGUGGUGGAGGAAGAUGUUCUUUUGGCUGCUGGAAGUAGCAAUUGAUGAAGGUGGAAUCAGGACAGCUACCUGUUCACCAUAAAACCUUCAGGAAAGCCUUACUGGUACAACUGGUGGGAAAUGUUUGCAACCCUGGCUCAAGAAAAUGUGGUUGUCCAUCAUCAACAGACAAGAUAAGAAAGACUGAAUGGAAAGCCACAUUUCAUUGCAAAAAUGAAUCAAAGAGCACCAAAGACUAUGCAGUAUUCAGUGACAAAAGGGGGGAGGAGGGAGACUGUAUGGUUCUGCAAAACCUGCUCAAGGCAGCCAGGGUUACACCCAGGUGACUGUUUUGAAAGAUACCAUACCAUGGACACAUACAGAUAAUUUCUGUCAGUGUAAAUGCCUUUUUUUUUGUUUGCAUAC